GAUGAAGAACGCGGCGAAAUGCGAUAAGUAGUGUGAAUUGCAGAAUUCAGUGAAUCAUCGAAUCUUUGAACGCACAUUGCGCCCUUUGGUAUUCCAAAGGGCAUGCCUGUUCGAGCGUCAUUUGUACCCUCAAGCUUUGCUUGGUGUUGGGCGUCUUGUCUCUAGCUUUGCUGGAGACUCGCCUUAAAGUAAUUGGCAGCCGGCCUACUGGUUUCGGAGCGCAGCACAAGUCGCACUCUCUAUCAGCAAAGGUCUAGCAUCCAUUAAGCCUUUUUUUCAACUUUUGACCUCGGAUCAGGUAGGGAUACCCGCUGAACUUAAGCAUAUCAAUAAGCGGAGGA
rnacentral:misc_RNA from 1 species